GAUGAACGCUGGCGGCGUGCCUAAUACAUGCAAGUCGAGCGAACGGACGAGAAGCUUGCUUCUCUGAUGUUAGCGGCGGACGGGUGAGUAACACGUGGAUAACCUACCUAUAAGACUGGGAUAACUUCGGGAAACCGGAGCUAAUACCGGAUAAUAUUUUGAACCGCAUGGUUCAAAAGUGAAAGACGGUCUUGCUGUCACUUAUAGAUGGAUCCGCGCUGCAUUAGCUAGUUGGUAAGGUAACGGCUUACCAAGGCAACGAUGCAUAGCCGACCUGAGAGGGUGAUCGGCCACACUGGAACUGAGACACGGUCCAGACUCCUACGGGAGGCAGCAGUAGGGAAUCUUCCGAAAUGGGCGAAAGCCUGACGGAGCAACGCCGCGUGAGUGAUGAAGGUCUUCGGAUCGUAAAACUCUGUUAUUAGGGAAGAACAUAUGUGUAAGUAACUGUGCACAGCUUGACGGUACCUAAUCAGAAAGCCACGGCUAACUACGUG
rnacentral:rRNA from 1 species